rnacentral:pre_miRNA from 1 species
GUAGUACUCCCUCCGUACGGAAAUACUUGUCAUCAAAAUGAAUAAAAGGGGAUGUAUCUAGAUGUAUAUUAGUUCUAGAUACAUCUUUUUUAUCCAUUUUGAUGACAAGUAUUUUUGGACGGAGGGAGUACUUG